UACGUAGGGUGCAAGCGUUGUCCGGAAUUAUUGGGCGUAAAGAGCUCGUAGGCGGUCUGUCGCGUCGGCUGUGAAAACUCGGGGCUCAACUCCGAGCUUGCAGUCGAUACGGGCAGGCUAGAGUUCGGCAGGGGAGACUGGAAUUCCUGGUGUAGCGGUGAAAUGCGUAGAGAUCCGGAAGAACACCAAAGGCGAAGGCAGGGUUCUGGCUCGUUUCUGACGCUAAGGUGCGAAAGCCAGGGGAGCGAACGGG
rnacentral:rRNA from 1 species